rnacentral:rRNA from 1 species
UACAGAGGUCCCAAGCGUUGUUCGGAUUCACUGGGCGUAAAGGGUGCGUAGGCGGUCGGGUAAGUCUGAUGUGAAAUCUCACAGCUUAACUGUGAAACUGCAUUGGAUACUAUCCGGCUCGAGGAAUGGAGGGAGACUGGAAUACUUGGUGUAGCAGUGAAAUGCGUAGAUAUCGAGAGGAACACCAGUGGCGAAGGCGAGUCCUGGACAGGUCCUGACGCUGAGGCACGAAGCUAGGGAGCAAACAGG